CAAGUUUCCUUCCCCUGCAUUCUCGAUCCCACAUGUAAAUAGCACGGUGAUUUCAAAAAGACAUUGAUACAUCAUUACAACACUUGCCGUCAGUAUUUGAAUAUAUUGAUUAAGAAGGUAUAGAAGAUUAAUGCACGCACACUAUUAUCCACCACUGGCCUAAAUAGUUAGUCCGCAAACAACGAGGGUCAUAAAAACCCAGCACUUUGAACACAGCCACCGGCAUGGUGUGAAUCUGAAAGCUUCCCACUAUCCAUUUCUACCCAUAGAAAACUUUUGCCUUUCAUUUAUCAAAAAUGAAAUAUGUUGAUAUUAAUGGUAUAUAAGAAUUAUUGGGGAAUUCAAACCAUUCCUAUUGUAAGUGAUAAAACUAAAUUUAUAUCAGGGUGAUUGAAAUGAGGAAAAAAAAGGGGGAAUCAGGAGUUCAGGGCCCCCUGUUUGGGAAAAGAAUUGGUUGAUUAUAUAUGGAAUCACUGAGUCAUGGCAGGAGCAGGCCCCUCUUAGGCAGUCGGUGGGCCCCACUUAUGAAAAAUUCUGGAUCCACCACUGUGGUCAUGGUGGUCUUCAGUUGUAUUAUCUUUUAAAAAAAAAAUUACACCUGUAUAGUGUAUAUUCUUUAGUGUAAAUCAAGGGAAAAUACUGUGAACUAUCUGUGCAUUGGGGCUUAUUAAAAGGUAUUUCGGGGGGAAGAAAGAAGGGAGGGUGAGUCCAUGGGAGGUAAUCCCCACCCCUUUCAAUUUGAGAAUAUGCUAUUAUCUUGUAAACGGUCCAGAUCCCCAUCCCUAAACCAUAUAUAUUCUUGAAUGGGACGAUAAAAACAAAUCAAAUGAAAUUAAAAGGAGGUCUUUGGGGGUUACCCCACUCUGUUCAAUUUGAGAAUGUGCUAUUAUCUUGUGAACGAUCCAGAUCCCCACCCCUAAACCAUAUAUAUUCUUGUCGGGGACAAUAAAAUUAAUAAUGAAAUAAAAUAAAAGUGAAGUCCCACCCCCUCUAGUUUGAAAACUUGUAAACGGUCAAGAUCCCCACCCCUAAACCAUAUUUAUAUAUUCUUGUAUAGAACAAUAAAACAAAUCAAAGGAAAUAUAGGGAGAGUCCAUGGGGUUCACCCCCACCCCCACAUGUUUGAGAAACUUUUAAAUGGUUGAGAUCCCCUGUCAUCCAGUGGUUAGGUGAAAAAAUUUCAGGAUCCCUGAUCCCCACCGUCAAACCAUAUAUAUUCUUGUAUGAGACAAUAAAACAAAUCAAAUGAAUAUAGGAUCAUCCCCUUUGUCUUGGGUUGGGAACCCCCCUUUUUAAAAUGGCUGGAUCCGCCCCGGCAUACCAUCUAGCUAGCUAUAAAGGCUUUAAAAAUAUGAAAUCAAACAAGGAAAUUAACAGUGUAGGCAACUGUUUUGAAUUUAAAAAAAAUCCUUUUACAUAUAUAUAACAAUGUUAAAUUUUUUUGUGCAUUUAUUUUUGCUUAUCGUAUUUUCAAUAAUAGACAAAAUUGCAUGAUUGAAUAUUGUAAUUUAAGAAAAAUCAGCAUACAUGAUAUAAAAUGGGAAGUGGAAACUGGGAAUUUGACAAAGAGACAACAACCCAAUCAAAGAGCAGACAACGGCCGAAGGUCACCUAUGGGUCUUCAAUGCAGUGAGAAAAAUUCGGCACUGGUCUUCAGCUCAUAAAUAUGUAUCAGAAAUGAAAACGAGAUACAGCUUUCAGUUGUAUUAAUAAAAACCUCACAAUAAGUUCUGAAUAUCAGAAUAUACAGUAUUGCAAGAUUCUCUCAAAAUGUACACAUAGAGCUGAAAAACUGUCAGUGACUGUAAAAUUAAUCAUGCUUACAUUAAAGUCCAUGGAGUCCAUCUUAAUAUGCAUACUCUCGUACAAAGGAAUAUAAGUAUGCAAUAGACAUCAAGUUUUCAAAAAUAAGAGUAUCUAUGCCAUUAAUUUACGACAAGAUCUUAAUCAAGUAAUAAUUUCGGUUUGUUUAAAUAUUUCGGAGGUUAGUAUGACCUCCUCUUUGGUGAUGAUGUUUUUUCGUUUUAAAGUUGGGAAAAUUGUUUGUACAUGUACCAACAAAAAUAAAAACACAAAUUCAAUCUAGAAUUAUGUUUUUAUCAUUUUUUUAUGUUUAGGUUGUCAGCAAGAUGAAAAGGACAAGUAUGCAGUUCAAAAUUCAAAAUGUGGAUAAGUUGAGGUUCUAGGUCUUACCUUUGCAGAUUUUCAUAUUUUGCAUGAAUGAAUUCAAAGGUUAUAUGAUGGACAGCAGAGAAAGAAAAAAACAACUUUUCAAUUAUCCUGCUCCUGGAUAAAUGUAAAACAUCUUGUUUUUCGGUAAGUUUUAUGCUCUGUUUUGAUAGUGUUAGUGCAUUCAUCUUUCCAGUCUUUCCUCUAAAUUGUAAGUUUUUGGUGAGUGUUCACCAUGAAUUUCAGUAAGUAACUUGUGGAUUUACAUGUAUAUACUCAAAAUUUAGUACUAAUAUUAAUGGGAUUUUAGCAUGACAUCCUGCCAAAUGCUUGUUAAUCAUGUUUAUGUUCCAGAACAAACAAGUAUUUGGACUGUACGCAUACAGUCUGCCCAAUUUUAAGAAGUUGGUCAAGUUUAUUACAAACAAAUGUACAGUACAGAUCAACAUAACUGAAAUCUUUAAUAGAUUAAUACAAAAAGUUUAAUUGCAGUUAAAAUAAAAACACAGGUUUGGUUGAGCUGGUACCAGACAGUACAAGUAUACUUAAAUGGUCUGACUGUACACAUAUGGUGGGACUGUAAGUUCUGGACCAUAAAAGUAAGAUCCGAAUACUGAUAUGGUCUGGAACAUUUAUACAUGUCUUAAAAUUAAUAUCAAACACAUUGGUGUUUUUGAACUUGGUAAUAAGUUAUGUGAUAGAACUAUAAUGUUUUGGGAUAUCAAAAUCAAAAAUAUCCCAUUUUUACUUUUAAUAAAGAAGAAGAUUAUUGAUGUAUGUUUAAAUGUAUAUUUAAAAUGAGACAGCAAGCCAACAACACAAAAAAAAGGAUAAAACAUACAUAUUUUGUUUGUAUCAAUGUUAUAAUUUCCAAUAUGUUCAAGGUAUUUUUUCAUUGAAAUAAAACACAAAUUGAAAUCUGUCUGAACUUCAAAAGCUUAAAGAAAUAUUGUUUCUGUUGUCUGCAUUUUGUAUAAUAUAUUGCAAAUUCUUGUGAAUAAUGGAAUGUUAUUAUAGUUGUCUAAAGUUUUAACUUUUAACAUUGAUCUUUAUACUGUAAAAUUCAUAAAUUAUUGCGUGCAUUUAUUAUUGCGAUUCUGUCAUUUUAGACUUAAAUGCGAUUUUAAAUUUUACGAUUUUGAAAAAAUCCUGUUUAAUCCAUAUAAAAUAUUUCAUAAUACGAGUUUAAAUUAUUGCGUUUACAACUCCGUUGCAUUUUUCGCAAUAAAAAAAAACUUGCAUUAAUUCCGAAUUUACAGUAUAUAUAUAUAUAUUAUGUAUAUAACUUGGGAAAAUACCCAAAUUUUAUAAAGAAGAAUAAAUUAAUUGAUUGUUAUAUGGUAUUAGAAUAGGAAGAUGUGGUAUAUUGCUAAUUUGACAACCCUCCAUCAGAGACCAAAGGAUGUAGGCCGUUAGCAACUGAUGACACUGGACAACCUUUAACAAUCAGUAAAAUCCAUACCGCAUAGCUAUUUUUAUUGAAAAUCAUAUUAUUGCUACAUGUAUGAAAACAAUUUUGUAUAAUCCAUUACUUUAGAUUUUAUUGGUUCUUUUUCAGAAGGAUUGAAAUUCACCACCUAAAAUAAAUGGAGAAAACAUAGAAACAAGACCAGAAUAAAUUCAAAGAAAAAAAGUUGGAUCAGUUAUUAUUUUCAUCACUCAGUCAAUGAUUUGAAGUUCUUUUAAAUUCAAAAAAAAUAUUGAAACCACAAUAAUGUCAAAGUUCUGUGCUGAAUGUCCAAAAAGUGGACUAUACCAUCAAACAAUGCUGGAUGAUAAGAAACUAUUAAUGUUUUGUGUGUUGAGGGAUAUUGUGAAAAAAAUAGAUUUACUUAAAUAGCUACUAGUAUGUUAAGCCUAACAAUAGAGUUUUUAUUGAUUUCAAAUGGCAAAUAAUUGUGUUUCAAGAAAGUAUUCUAUAAUUCAUGAAUAAACAUAUAUUGAUACUUACAUUAUCUGCUUUGUUGUUUAAAAGUUUAGUUUUGAACAGUUAAAGAACAAUAUGCUAAAUUAACAUUUCCCAAGAAAAAAAGAUAUUCAAUUAAAAAGAUUCAUCUUAUAAUAAUUUACUACCAAAUAGAAUACAUUGUAACAUACACAUUACUGUUUAUUUAUAUCUAUAUAUUUACAAUUAGAAUCCCAUAGGAUUUUAAUUUGUCCCAUGGGAUAUUAAAAAUCCCAUGGGAUAUAAAAAAUCCCAUGGGAUUUUUUUUGUCCCAUGGGACAACAAAUAUCCCAUGGGACUACAAUAAUCCCAUGGGACAAAAAAAAAUCCCAUGGGAUUUAACCAAAAUCCCAUGGGAUAAUGGUAAAUCCCAUGGGAUUUUGCCCUGUCCCAUGGGAUAUUGAAAAUCCCAUGUUUUUAUAAUUCAAAUUGCAAAAUAAAUAUGAAAGUAACUGUAGAAAACCAAUGAAAUUAUUGAAUCCCAUGUAAUUCUGCACAUUUUGGUUAUAUACAUGAUAUUGUAGCUCUUGUUUGAGGCGGCGGCGGAUUUGCAAAUGAGUGUUUUGCAAAUUAAAGUGUCGUGUUUAAAAAUGUGGACCAGUAAUUAAUUCUUUGCACGAGUUUGAAAAGGGAAAUACAUACUUUAAAAGAAUUUAUAUUAAUUAAGUUUUGUAUAUGAAAUCCGUUCUUAACGGUAAAAGCCGUACUUUUCAAACAAUCAAACUCAUAUACAUGUAGUUAGAUGUUAUUUCUUAUUUUUAUCGAACUUGUCCAGGAAUUUUAUUUUUGAGUUAUACGAAUAUUUUAAGAAAUCCGUUUUAAUUAAGUUUUUUUUCUCUUAUUAAAGUGGUUUUGUCCAGUUUCACAAGCCUGAAACGAAUUUCAAUGCGAAAAUAAAUGAACUUGUCUCCGUUUUCGUCUCCGUUUUUUGAAAAUUAUGAUAUUUUGGGUAUAAUUAUUUCUAAAAAAAUAUGUAAGUUAGAUUGUAGUAGCGAGAAAUUAUAAAAAAAAGAAGAUGUGGUAUGAUUGCUAAUGAGACAACUAUCCACAAAAGACCAAAAUGACACAAACAUUAACAAAGAAAGACUAUUUCGAAGACAGUUUAUUGACACGAAAUCCGUUCAAACCACGACUAAGUCUUCGUGCACAGAUUACCGUUAAGGUUAAACUGAAUAUUGUACAUAAUUGUCUUCUCUUGUAUAAUGGUUUGUUGAGAAUAAAGAUAUACAAAUGUAAUAAAAUUUGAUAUUCAGUCAACAUUGUGUUUGUUUAAAAACUUGAUUAAGAGAGAGAGAGAGAGAGAGAAAAGAAUCACACUGAAAAACAAAAAUCGAACUUGUUACAGAAAAAAACGCAACUAUAAAAUAAUUUUCUUUAUUCGUGAACUGCAAAACACAACAAAUUAAUUUACCCGUCAUCAUGAAAAAUAAACUGAAAAAGCACAUCGAAUGAGAUAUAUAUUUUAUUUUUUCUAUAUGCAAAUUCAUGUUAAAGGUAAAACUGAACUAAACAAUACAAUUCCUUAAAGAUAAUCCAAUCAAUUUUGUUGAUUGGAUAAUUCAUGGCUCAGUAGUUGUGUAAUCAGUGACACGUGCCCUCAUUAUUUUAUAAGAAUUAACAUAUCUAUCUAAGUUCGAUUCAGGCGCGGAUCCAGAGGGGGGAGGGGGGUUCCGGGGGGUUUGGAACCCCCUUUUUUUGGCCGAUCAAUGCAUUUGAAUUGGGACAUGUAGUUGAACCCCCCCCCUUUUUGUGUCCUGGGUUAGGACCCCCCUUUUUUAAAAUGGCUGGAUCCGCCCCUGCGAUUUCAACUUCUACCAAAAUUUAACUCUAAAAUAAGAAGCGUAUAACGAAUAUAAACAUCCAUCAUGUGUGCAGAUAUGAUUACGGUAAUGGGUCCUGGGUGCACUUUGUAUGUCCUGAGCCGUUGUUUAGACGUACCCGAAGAAAAAAUCAUUUCCUGAACCUAAAAUACAUUUAUCUGUAAUUAAAGAAAAUUCGCCUAAAACAUUCUCUCAUAUAUUUAAACAAUUAAUUGUAAAAUAAUUAAUUCAACGUCGAACUUUCUGUCUGUUUACUAAUACUUUUCUUGUUCAGUUUAGUUUAUAUACCCAUAAUAGAUGAACGGAAAUAAGUACUUUUUUAGGAAAAUUUACAACUAGAUGAACGGAAUUAAGUACUUUUUAGGAAAAUUUACAACUCAAAUUUUCAAAAACAAAAUUCUACACUUUUUACUUGGAUGUUUUUCUCUGUCUCGAAGCCGCAACCGUUGGCCCCGUAUCAAACGUAGCGACCAACACCUCACAUGACGUAUUCUCGAUGUUGAGGUAUUGACAAUAUACAAUCACAUUUAUCAAUAUACAGCAGCCAAGUAAGUAAUUUGGUGUUGAAUGCCAGUAGAUCAGAAUUUGUUAAUUGAACUUUACCUGUUUAAGGGGCACUAGCUGCCAAAUUCAUGUUCUUCAUCGAUUUUAAUAAAAUUCACAUAACGUGUAUAUAGUGUUGAAUUGUUUAUUAAAAUGUUGCGCACAAUCUUGGCUGAUAUGCAUAAAACCAUUAUAUUUCAUGACACUGCAUGAAAAAGAAAUUGACUUAUCGCAUAUUACCAGAACCAGAGACAUAUAUAUAUUGUAUCUAAUAUCUCUGCCAGAACUAAAAAAUAAACUACAGUAAGUCCACAUACACAUAAGAGGAUGUGAAUUAACAGAAUAGAGAACAAAGGACAAAGAAAAAAAGGAUUAAAGAAUAGUGAAAGAAAGAGAAUAAUGGAAAAAAAAGUGUAAGUUAUUAAAAAUAUAACUAAAAAAAGAAGACAGAAAAAAAGACACCCCUCCGAGACGAGCCUUACAUGCACUGUCACGGGUAGUAAGGUCGUCAUUCCGAGGAGCGUUUAGUACAGUGAUUUUGUCAUAGUUUGGAUAAGUUUGACAUGACGGUGUUAAUUCUUUUUGAUGACAAUCAAUGCAAUAAUGUAAACAUUGGGAUAUUUUGUAAACGGAACCUCUAAUCAUUAAUUCAAGUUGUAUAAAGUAAAUAUGCUAGUACAUAACAAGUGGUAUCAUAUAGUUAAUGACUUAACACAGAACAAAGCUUGCGUAUGUCAAAAUUUAAAACUUGCUAAUUGGCCUAUCGUGCAUAAAAAAAGUUAUUUUCUUACAGUCUGUUACAUUACAUAUAUCUUCGUGAUAUAACACUGCCGUCAAUUAUUCGGAAAAACACCUACUUUUGCAAUCAAUUCAAAAUUACUGAAAUAUCUGUGUCAUGGUUUGGUUCAUUUGUGUCAUGGUUAAGUUCAUGUUCGACAUGGUUCAGUUAUGUAAUUCUUGCCGUGUAUAAUGAAGAGUUACUACCAAAAUUAAGAAAAAUCGUUCCAUUUGAAACACAAAAGGACAAAAGAACGCACAUACAAUGUAGUAAUAUGUUUUCUUCGCGAUAUACGCUAUACAUGUAUAUGUAGUUUCAUUGAAUAGCAUUAUAUUAAACAAUAUUGAGAGGAUCCUAUUUUUUUAUAUAUGUUUCUUAAUUUUUAAAUCUUUUAUUGCCGCAGUCAUAUUAUAAACUUGAAUCCUAACAAUACUACGUUUAUUUAUUUCAGCAGCCAUGCAAUGUUUGACUAACCCCGAAAAUCUACUGCUAAACGUAAAAGUGCAAUCGUGAACCCAUAUGAUGGAUUUGCACAUGGUGCUCAAGGAAUUCGUCAGUACCAUAAACGCGCAUGUUAUGAUAUCUAAAUAAGUCAUUAUUUUGAAAAUGAGACAAUUUAUCAUUUAAACUUUAUGAAUGCUAGAAAUGAAUCAGUAUCACCAACAGCUUCAAAUGACUCGUCUAACAUUUUGCCUAAAGGAGCAAUAGAUGCAAUUGCCUCUGAAAAUUGUAUGAGUCCAAUUCAAUGCAUUUGUGUGAAAUUUGGAGCCUUAUCGUGUAAAUAAAUAACAAACAAAAAAACAAUUAUGAAUUUGACUGCGUUAUUUUUUGCUAAACAUAUUUAGUUACAUAAAUUGAAAAGAAGUUAUAAACUACGAAAUCAUAUAUUGAGAAUAGUUUGAUGGUUUCAGAUCUCUGGUUGCCUCUGUCUAAUUUAUUAACCCAUUUUAUAGAAACAGGCAGAUACAGAGUUUUGCCUAUUUAAUUUAUCCUAUUGUUGAAGAAUUCAUGUUUGUGUUGUUGGUUUGCUGUUUCAUUUAUGUAUUUCCUGCGUCAUCUUACAUUUGAUAUUACCUAGUAAAUUGAAAAUCAAAUAAGCAAAAAUGAUAAACGGCAAAUAUAGAUAGCAUACAAAUAUCAUUGAAUAUUCUAAGAAGUUCAAAUGAAGUGUACUUGGGAUAUAUAUCAACAAACUUACCAUCUGUUUCAUCUUCGUCCAUCUUAUUAUGCGUUCUGUCCUAUUACAAACGAUGAUUUCUUGUCUAGCCAGGUCAAAAUUAACAGUUUAAAUGUACAUGUAGCAGACAAUAUAACACGUGUUUCUUUGAUUUUCAAUCCUUUUUUGUUUCAAUCGCAUGUAAUAAUAUACCACCUCAUACUUAAAACUAGAUCGCAGGAGUUUUUUUCAGAUAGUAUAGAAACUAUAUUACAUAAAAAGUAAAAAAAUAUUUGAAAUAAUUUAAUGAUACUAUACACGAUAUAAAAAAAAAAGAUGUGGUAUGAUUGCCAAUGAGACAACUAACCACAAAAGACCAAAAUGACACAAACAUUAACAACUAUAGGUAACCGUACGACCAUUAACAAUGGGCAAAGCCCAUACCACAUAGUCAGCUAUAAAAGGCCUCGAUAAAACAAUGUAAAACAAUUAAAAUUAGAAAACUUGAUGCAUUUAUACAAUAUUACAAAGAUUAUUAUUGAUUCGUAAUAAUAAUUGAUAAACUUGAACAUUAUAUCGGCUUAAAUCCAAAAUUGGAGUUAUGAUCUUUCAUAUUUUAAAUUCGCACUUUAUAACUACUUUUUAUUGUAAUUUCACCUAUUAUAGUUUUAAAACCAAUAAGUUUUAAAACUGUUGUCCAUGUCACGCGUAACUAUUCGGUUUCGUAAAUGGUUGAAGACUUAUGAUGUCCUCUUAAUAUCUUGUGGUUAGUUUUGUAGUUGGGUUACUGUAUCAUGGACCUCUAACCCAACAUCUCCUUUUAUUCAUCAUAAACCGAUUCAAAAGUUAAAAUAAAAAAUCCAACAAAUGUAUAGUUUUCUAGAAAAAAAAACAAAAAAAAAAAAGAAUUACUUUUGGACUGGCUGCCACUUUUGAGUAGAAGUCUUUAGCUAUUUGACUAGUGAUGCCGCUCAUGAUUUUCCCGGCAGGGAUAUGGAUGAAAGAUUAUAUGUGAAACAGAAGCAACGCUUUGUCUUUUAUUUUUGUAAAAUUAUAAAGAGCAGUGAUUGUUAAAUUAUAUUGUAGAAAACAUGUUUACUUUACGCUUUGUCGAUCACACCCACUAAAUUUGGUUAAACAAGUUUUUUCUUCUUCUCAGGAAGUUAAUAUAUAGUGUAACUUCGUUCAAUAACAGGCGCUAUCAAUCAAAUUUUCAGUAUUAAAGUGAAACACAUAUAUAUUUAUUUCGAUCUAAACCAUGACAAUCUUGACCAAAACCAUGACGAAUUUCUAGACUCUUAACCGAACCAUGUCAUUCGCUUAACCAAACCAUGGCAAUUCCGAUAUCUUGCUUAUUCUGCGUUAAUUUCGUGAAAUAACAAUUCCAAUAUAGAUAGUUUGACUUCCAAUACAGAUUCAAGCAUCUUAUUUGCUUUUCAUCUGCUCGUGUGAAUAGAACUGAGGCAAUAGUUUGGGGAAACAACAUAAAUUAACCAUGUCAAACUUAUCCAAACUAUGACAAAAUCACUGUACUAAACGCUCCUCGAUAUGACGACCUUACUACCCGUGACUGUUAUUACCCAAGGUUAAUUUUACGGCGGCUCAUUUUAUUUUGGCUUAGAAAUAAACAUAAUUGACAAGUGUCCUUCCCCUGCAUUCUCGAUCCCACAUGUAAAUAGCACGGUGAUUUCAAAAAGACAUUGAUACAUCAUUACAACACUUGCCGUCAGUAUUUGAAUAUAUUGAUUAAGAAGGUAUAGAAGAUUAAUGCACGCACACUAUUAUCCACCACUGGCCUAAAUAGUUAGUCCGCAAACAACGAGGGUCAUAAAAACCCAGCACUUUGAACACAGCCACCGGCAUGAUGUGAAUCUGAAAGCUUCCCAC
rnacentral:lncRNA from 1 species